ACACAUUCCAGCCAAUCAGCAGCAGGCCCUCCCUCCCAGACCCUCCCAACUCCUGGACAGCAUUCAUUUUACAUUCAUUGUGAAGCUGCAUUCUUAGUGAGCUGUCCAGGAGAUGGGAGGGUCUGGGAGGGAGUGAGGGUCUGCUGCUGAUUGGCUGGUAUGU
rnacentral:miRNA from 1 species